GAUUGAUGGCACUCUUCCACUUUCACAGCAUAGAGGCUCAACAUGCAUACUGUUCUCAUCACGCUUACUGCAUCGGUAUUGUUUCUCCCAGGUUCUCUUUGUUCCGUCAUCCAGAAUCCUACAGAUCUCAUAAAAAAGCAAGACGAGUUUGCUGAGAUCAAAUGUGCACAUACUGUAAACAACUAUGACCGUAUAUUGUGGUACAAACACAACCAGGACACAGGAUUUCAAUUCAUGGGAUAUAUUUACAAUGAGUCUCCAAAUCCAGAGGCAGAUUUUAAAUCAAAGGUCAAGUUCAGCGGUGAUGGGAGAAACAACGGUUCUUUGACCAUUAACAGUGUUUCAGUGAACGACAGUGCUGUGUAUUUCUGUGCAGCUUAUUACACAGUGCUGUAGAUCAGCUCACUUAAUUACAAAAACCUUUAUCUGAUCCACGUUACAAACAAACCACAACACCUGGAGCUGUGGCUGGAUUUGAUUUAAUGCCAAUAAACAACAUAAAGAUGUUCA